rnacentral:rRNA from 1 species
UACAGAGGUCUCAAGCGUUGUCCGGAUUUAUUGGGCGUAAAGAGCGUGUAGGCGGCCAAGCAGGUCCGCUGUGAAAACUCGAGGCUCAACCUCGAGACGUCGGUGGAAACCGUUUGGCUAGAGUCCGGAAGAGGAGAGUGGAAUUCCCGGUGUAGCGGUGAAAUGCGCAGAUAUCGGGAAGAACACCCGUGGCGAAGGCGGCUCUCUGGGACGGUACUGACGCUGAGACGCGAAAGCGUGGGGAGCGAACAGG